rnacentral:rRNA from 1 species
GACGAACGCUGGCGGCGUGCUUAACACAUGCAAGUCGAGCGGUAAGGCCCUUUCGGGGGUACGACGAGCGGCGAACGGGUGAGUAACACGUGGGUGACCUGCCCUCAGCUCUGGGAUAAGCCUGGGAAACCGGGUCUAAUACUGGAUAUGACUCCAUGACGCAUGUUGUGGGGUGGAAAGCCUUGUGCGGCUGAGGAUGGGCCCGCGGCCUAUCAGCUUGUUGGUGGGGGUGAGGCCUACCAAGGCGACGACGGGUAGCCGGCCUGAGAGGGCGACCGGCCACACUGGGACUGAGACACGGCCCAGACUCCUACGGGAGGCAGCAGUGGGGAAUCUUGCGCAAUGGGCGAAAGCCUGACGCAGCGACGCCGCGUGAGGGAUGACGGCCUCGG